rfam:Dipodomys ordii contig_63972, whole genome shotgun sequence.
GGUGGCUCAGUGGUAGAGCGCUUGCCUUGCUUGCCAGAGGCCCUGGGUUCAAUUCCUCAGCACCA